CAUUGCUUGGGUGUUAAGUGCUGACAUGUAACAAAGCUCCACCUCAACUGGCCUGUGUAUACAGUGAUUGGGUGGGGCUUUGUGCUGUUAAAUAUUUACCUGUGUGUCAGUGCAAGGGAGGUGGAGCAGGAUGAGGUCCGGAUCUUGAGGCUUCUUGUUUCUUGCAGCUUAAAAGCCUUUAUGGAGAAAUCAAUGAAGCCACAGUUUGAGCCGUGGAUUUCCACACACAGCAGACACAUCUGUGUGUUUUUUCUCAGUGUGCAGAUAGUCUGCGGUUUAGACCAAGUGACGCUCCUGAAUCCUCCAGAAGAGGCUCUGCCACACCAUCUUUUGAAAAUACUUUACUCAUGUGAUGAACCUGCCACAGUACAACUGGACUGUAUUGUGUCUUUCGACAACGAUACGACUCCCACAAUACGGUUAAGACAAUGGAGAUGCGUCCCUGGUGACCCCAAAAUUAAAACUCUGGAGAUGAGGCUUCCGGAUUGGUUGGUCUAUCAACCUGAUGGGAUUGUUGAAGACUCCCAGGGUGUGCUGAGUUGUAUUCUCCAGGCAUCAGUCAAGUACAGUGGAUUAUAUGGCAGCGAGAGGUCUGUCGCAGCUCGGGAUGUGGCCAAUUUGCAGCUUAAGCCUUUUUUUAAUCGACCUGUGAAACAGCAUCAACUGUGCAUUGCCUGGAGCACACAGAUGCUGCAGUUUCAACGGUUUUCAAAGCAACAGUGCCCUUGGGAGCAAGAAACACUGCAUUUGCUGUCUUCGAUAUAUGCUUCAACUGGAGAAAGCUUCGGUAUCACAAAGACACUGGACCCUUAUCACAGCGAAUUCCUGGAGUUUUUGCGUGUCAAAGCCAUCUCUUUCCCAUGGUGUAUGUUCACCAUCUGGGUAUUUGUGACCAGAUACUGCCAUGACAUGUGUGGCGUGUUUCACCAUAUCGACUCCUAUAAUGACUACGUCACACCAACACUGUUGCUUACAAAUUCAGGCCAGUUACACAUCCAGAUGAAAGGCGAGUCUGAGGACUCUUCUGCAUUUCUCUCUUCCUUCAAGGUGCCUUUGAGAGAGUGGUGUCAAAUCAGUCUGAUGCUGCAAGGUAGAACGGUGACCGUCUCCAUGGUGUGCAUGAGUAAGGAGCAGAGAACGGCUCAUUCGACGGAACACGUGUUGAAGCAUACUGCCGUGCUGGAUGACACAGAGGGAUAUUUUGUGAUUGGUGGGGGGAAAUACAUAAAAGGCGUGGAAGGUUAUUAUGGACCACUGGUUUACUACCGCAACAGAAUAUCACCUCACAGCACGUCUGACGUUGUUAUUCCAGAUGUUAUUAGGGCUGUGAACCUGACCGGAUGGCUGCAAACCUGUCAAGCAUUUCGUCUUGAGAUGACUGUGAAAAUCAGUGGUUAUUUCCUCAAGGCUAAAAAGGAGACAGGAUCUGAGACCUGUUUUGAUGCUUUUUAUGAGUGGAUGGUAAAGGACAGACUGCCAUCAAAGUGUGGCCCGUGGGAGGGGACUGUCCCUCACAGAAGACAAGCUGCAAGCCUGGCAAAGUUUCUGGCUUUCAAACACAGAGACAGGAGAGUUGGCCUUCCAGUCGUGGGCAGAGCUCUGUACUCCUUAUCACUUCAUCAGCUGGCCAGAGCAGGCAGCACUGGAGUGAUCAGCAGAAUAUUACCGCUGCUGCUCCAAGCCGGCUGCUUAGCUGACACCCGAGCCCUGCACGUGUCGUCUGUGCUCUAUAGCUCUGGCCUUGGAGUCAAGAAAGAUCCCAAUAAGGCUUUCCUCCUGGCCCUGCUGGCAGCCCAGAAGGAUGAUCACUUGGCACUUCUGCAUCUCGGCCAUCUGCACCACCAGGGUCUCCACGGCCUGCCCAAAGACCCAGACUUGGCCUACGCAUAUUAUGCAAACAUUGCAACACAGACCACUUUAGACCGUCAUAAGCCCACACCACAGCAGACAUUCGUUGAGGCUGUUUACCUAAACAAUGAUGAGGAGUUAAAUCUCCAGACCAGUGAAGACCAUCAUAUCUUCCAGUGGCUCAAACUGCAGGCACGCAGGGGAGCAGCUGAAGCCGAGCAAGCAAUUGGCCGCAUGCUGUUCUGGGGUCAGCAGGGAGUGUCUCCAAACAUCCAGAAAGCUGUGAGACAUUAUGAAAGAGGAGCUGUCCACUGGGAGGACCCGGUGUCAAUGUAUGACUAUGGCAUAGUCCUACUGCAGGGACAUGGAGUUGAAAAGGACAUUCCAAAAGCCAUCACUUUCCUGAAGAGAGCAAUGGACAAGGGUUUUGCUCCCGCGAUCAACGCCCUGGCCUGGUACUAUGAGAAGUUUGAGCUGGACUACAAGCAGGCAGUGCAGCUGUGGGAGCAGGCCGAUCUACUCAAGAGUCCAGACGCAGCUUUGAAUCUUGGUGUCAUGUAUUCACAGGGUCUGUAUCCAGGGAAAGCUGCUGACCAGUUUAUGGCCUAUCAGUACUAUCUGAAAUCUGCAGAAAGAGGGCACAUCAGGGGAGCAGUUCAGCUUGCUGACAUCUGGACCACUGGGAUACCAGGCCUCAUCAAUAGAAGCCCAUCAGAUGCUGUUUUGUGGGUAAAAUGGGCAGCUGAGCACAACGGAUACCUGGGCAGCAUCUUGCGGAAAGCUUUGAAUUCGUAUCUCAUGAGUGACAGGUUCAGCUCACUGUUAUAUUACAUGAUGGCUGCCGAGUCCGGAUACGCGGCUGCCCAAUUCAAUGUGGCAUAUCUAUGUGAACAAAAUAAGUUGGCGUUUCUGGAUCCUGAUUUUGCAUCAGACUGCAUGUGGAGAUAUUACAACCUUACAAUCCAAAGUCAAAAUCCAGAUCCAUAUGCCUUGAUUAGGAUGGGUGACCUGUUGUAUGAGGGGCAGGGUCACAGACAGAAGGACUUGUUUUCUGCAGCGGAGAUGUACACACUAGCAGCACUAAGGGACGAUCCACAGGGAUGGUACAACCUUGGCCUCCUCACUGAAGAGGGCUUCAGGCUGCCGCUGUCAGUGCUGGCUGAACUUGGCCUGUCAGAGCUGUACUUGGCUGACAACAGCUUGCUUCUAAGUGCUUUGUACAAAAGAUGCAGAGACUCGGGAGAUGCACAUUCAUAUUUGCCCUGCAGCCUUGCCCUCCUCAAUGUUUAUCUUCAGACUUUCCAAAAGGAAUAUAGUGCUGCUAUUAAGUUCUCCACUGCUGUUGCCGUGGUUGUAGCUCCGAUGAUACUCGUAAUCAUCGGUGUGCUCAGGAGACCCGUUGUGUCCGCCCCUUAGAGCCAAGAUGCUUAUCGGGAUUGUCAGAGCAAUAAAGGAGGGACCGAACUGCAAAGUCAACCUGCACACCGGUAGCAUGGCAACAUUUUUCACUUGUGAUGAUUCCCUCAGCUGGUCAUCUGGACUCAAGGCUUUCCUAAUGUGACACAUGCUCCGUACAUUACCUUAAAUUUGAUGUUGCAAGAUUAUAUAAUUAAGUAUCUGUUGAUGGAACUCCUUUGUGUGAACAGAUCUCCCAUAUUUUAAAAAGUCAGAAUUUAGACUUCAAAAUUUGGAGUUAUAGUAUAGACAUAGUGACAUCUUCAUAGAGGAAAUUUGAUGGUCAUUCAUAAAACAGUGUUGACUCUUGCUAUAGUACACUGCAGCACUGAUUUAGCACAACACUGUUUAUGUCAUAAAUGAUUGAAAUCACCACAAAGUUGUUGUUUAAUUCAUAAAUAUAUUAGAGAUAACUCUUCAAUUUCUGGAGGCCAAAUGUUUAAUUCUUAUAGCCAUUGUGUAUCGUUUGUAUUAAUGGAUCUGUUUGUGUUUGUUACAUUGUUACAUUAUGUUAUGUAUUAUUUCCACACAACACACUGCUGCUCUUAUCGAGUAUUUGCUUGAGAAUUUCUUGCAACUCGCAUACCACCAGCCAAAAUCAAGCAAGCAAUUACAGACACUUGAGAGACUCCUGAGACCGAGUCCAGUCAACUCUCAACAUCUCAUUAACACCGGCAAACGAGUUUAAUUGCUUUGCUUCUUUUUGUUGGAAUAAUUUAGGAUUUGCUGAGGCUUAUGAUGGGGAGGAUGGUGAGGAUGGGAUUUAAACAAGCUCUGACAUGUGUACUUUUUUAUCAGCUAAGAAAAAAAAAAUACUGCUGUCAUUGCUGGUGAACUUAAUAUUUUCAAGAAGGUUUCCUGCACAAAUACAAUUCCUGCCAUGCUCUUGAUUAAAAAAUGUAUAGGACAGAUGUGUGCACCCUGUGGAAUAUAUUCUUUCUCAUUAAUACACUUAUGGAGGAAUUCGUCCUGACCAUGAUUUCUUGUCUCCUGACAAUCAUUUGCCAGAUACGUUUGGCCUGGCAUCUUGUGAAUGUUGUUAUCCUUGAGCAUGCCAAGGUCAUGUCCACAGUAUUUUACAGUAUUUCUCAAAGAUUACUUUUUUUUCCCCAUUUUUCCCUCGUAACAGUUAUCCUCAGUUUCCAGUAUUUAAAGGCCCAUUUAUUUAAAUCUGACUGGCAUAUUUUUGGGCCAUAAUAAAUAAAUUAAUUAAUUGUUGAACGUUUGCAUGUUAGGUAAUGGAAUUUACUGAAACAGUAACUGAACAGGCUUAGUACAGUAAUGCAUCAAUAAAUGUAAAAAACAAAAACUAUAAUAAAACUUUAU